GGUGAUUCUCAGGUGACACACCCCAGAAUCAGGCUCUCUCCUUUCUAGUUCUGGGUGUGUCACUCGAGAACCGCA
rfam:Myotis lucifugus cont2.37561, whole genome shotgun sequence.